CACGUAGGCGGACUGGAAAGUCAGGGGUGAAAUCCCGGGGCUCAACCCCGGAACUGCCUUUGAAACUCCCAGUCUUGAGGUCGAGAGAGGUGAGUGGAAUUCCGAGUGUAGAGGUGAAAUUCGUAGAUAUUCGGAGGAACACCAGUGGCGAAGGCGGCUCACUGGCUCGAUACUGACGCUGAGGUGCGAAAGCGUGGGGAGCAAACAGGAUUAGAUACCCCCGUA
rnacentral:rRNA from 1 species